rnacentral:rRNA from 1 species
UGCAAGUCGAGGGGUAACGGGGUGCUUGCACCGCCGACGACCGGCGCACGGGUGCGUAACGCGUAUGCAAUCUGCCUUGUACUGGGGUAUAGCCUUUAGAAAUGAAGAUUAACCCCCCAUGGUAUGCGGAUCCCGCAUGGGGACCACAUUAAAGUUUACGGUACAAGAUGGGCAUGCGUCCUAUUAGCUAGUUGGUGCGGUAACGGCGCACCAAGGCCACGAUAGGUAGGGGCCCUGAGAGGGGGAUCCCCCACACUGGUACUGAGACACGGACCAGACUCCUACGGGAGGCAGCAGUGAGGAAUAUUGGACAAUGGGCGGAAGCCUGAUCCAGCCAUGCCGCGUGCAGGAAGACUGCCCUAUGGGUUGUAAACUGCUUUUGUACGGGAAGAAACACCCCCUCGCGAGGGGGCUUGACGGUACCGUAAGAAUAAGGAUCGGCUAACUCCGUGCCAGCAGCCGCGGUAAUACGGAGGAUCCGAGCGUUAUCCGGAAUCAUUGGGUUUAAAGGGUCCGUAGGUGGAAGGUUAAGUCAGAGGUGAAAUCCUGCAGCUCAACUGUAGAAUUGCCUUUGAUACUGGCCCUCUUGAAUUAUGGUGAAGUAGCUAGAAUAUGUAGUGUAGCGGUGAAAUGCAUAGAUAUUACAUAGAAUACCGAUUGCGAAGGCAGGUUACUAACCAUAUAUUGACACUGAUGGACGAAAGCGUGGGGAGCGAACGGGUUUAGAUACCCCGGUAGUCCACGCCGUAAACGAUGGAUACUAGCUGUCCGGCCUCGGCUGGGUGGCUAAGCGAAAGUGAUAAGUAUCCCACCUGGGGAGUACGUUCGCAAGAAUGAAACUCAAAGGAAUUGACGGGG